AGAGGAAAAUGGAAGUCAAUGGUGAAGCAAGAGCUAGAGGUGAAGGAGUGAGAGUAAGAGGAAUACGAGGAAGGACAGUUGUCUCAGAUGAGAUCAGGGCCACAUUGGUUGACCAUGUGCUCAACCAUGGGUUGAGUAUGAGGGAGGCUGGGCAGAGUUCAGCCCAACCUGAGCCGCUACAUGGUUGCAUUUAUCAUUCAGAAAUGAGAACCGAACUGAUAGACGGCCAGGCCGUGGUGGAAGACACCAGCUGUUCACACCAGAACAGCAGACCGCUAUUGUGAACAUGGUGGUGGCAAACAAUACCAUUUAGACUACGAGAAAUCCAGAACCACAACUGCAGACAUUGGCCAUUGUGAAUGUCCCUGGACAGUGUGGAGGGAAUAUCACCAUGUACGCAGCCUUGAGCCAGCAAGGUGUCCUCCAUCACCAUGCCAACCUCGGUCUCUACAACACCGCCCUUCUCAUUCCUGGACACACUACAUGGCAUCCUCAUUCCAGCUGAGCAUAGUGGUGGACCAGAGCAAUGUCAGUAAUGUCAUCUGGAACAACGUGAGUUUCCACCGGGUUGCUCUAGUCCGCAACUGGUUCAUCGACCACCCACAAUUUAUUGUUCUAUACCUCCCACCAUAUUCCCCAUUCCUAAACCCAAUUGAAUAGUUUUUUUCGUCAUGGCGAUAGGUGUGUGACCGCCAUCCCCUCGCACGCAUGCCUCUUCUCCAGGCAAUGGAGGAUGCAUGUGGUGAAGUUGAUGUGGGGGCUUUCGGUGGCUGGAUCUGUAACUCCAGAAGAUUCUUUCCCUGCUGUUUAGCCAGGGAGACCAUCGCUUGUGAUGUAGAUGAGAAGCUGUGGCCAGACCAAAAUAGUUUUUUUAUGCAUUUUGCAUGUGUUUUUGUGUUUAGAGUUUUGAAAGAAUGAGCCACUUUCAUUUUUGUACAGAAAACCAUUUAUUUUACUGAAUGUUUUUCCUGGUUUUCUCCUGUUGGGUAUGGAAAGUGUUACAUGCAAAACACAAAUCACUGUUUUUGUAUUGCAUUUGUGUGUGUGUGUGUUUAUUUAUGUAUAUUUGAGUAGGUAUACAUUACUGUAACAAUAUUUUACAACCGGCUACAGCUUAACACUGAAAAUGCAAAAGGCAUAAACCUACUGAUGGGAAAUUCAUAGUAGUGUUUUGUGUUGAGCACAUCAGUGUGUUGUUGGUUGGUAGACAGAUCUAUUCAAAAAAACAUUAUGGAAAGAGAAAACAGUUGUCAAGUUCUGACCUUAGUUCCUUUUUUGUGUUAGCUUGGUCAGGGCGUGAGUUGGGGUGGGUAGUCGAUGUUCCUUUUUCUAGGUUGUUAUAUUUCUAUGUGUUUGGCCUAAUAUGGUUCUCAAUCAGAGGCAGGUGUCGUCCGUUGUCUCUGCUUGAGAAUCAUACUUAGGUAGCCUGUUUUCUCCAUUUUGGUUGUGUGUUUGCUUUCUGUUUUUGUGUCUUCACCAGACAGAACUGUUUCGGUUGUUCACUGCGUUUUGUUUAUCUGUGUUCAGUUCCAUUAUUAAACGGAUGAAUACGUACCACGCUG